UCAAGCUAAUAAGAGCGCAAGGGGAAUGCCUUGGCAUCAGGAGCCGACGAAGGACGUGACAAGCUGCGAUAAGCUACGGUGAGGAGCAAAUAUCCUGUGACCCGUAGAUUUCCGAAUGGGGCAACCCGGCUGGACAAUAUCCAGUCAUCCUGCAUUGAAUCAAAUAGGUGUAGGAAGGGAACCGCCUGAACUGAAACAUCUAAGUAGGGCGAGGAAAAGACAUCAACCGAGAUUCCGCAAGUAGUGGCGAGCGAACGCGGAAGAGGCCAAACCGGAGGAUUUAUUCUCCGGGGUUGCGGACAGCUAUACGGAACAAUAGUUUAGCCGAACGGUCUGGGAAGGCCGGUCACAGAGGGUGAGAACCCCGUAGGCGAAAGACGAAUUGUUUCAGGCUGGAUCCAGAGUACCGCAGGACACGUGAAACCCUGUGGGAAACAGGGGGGACCACCCUCCAAGCCUAAAUACUACCUGAUGACCGAUAGAGGAGCAGUACCGUGAGGGAAAGGUGAAAAGGACCCCGGGAGGGGAGUGAAAGAGAACCUGAAACCUUGUGCUUACAAGCAGUCAAAGCACGUUAAAGUGUGAUGGCGUACUUUUUGUAGAACGGUCCGGCGAGUUAUAGUAACGAGCAAGCUUAAGGUAUUCAGUACCGGAGGCGAAGCGAAAGCGAGUCUGAAUAGGGCGCAUGAAGUUCGUUGCCAUAGACCCGAAACCGGGUGACCUACGCAUGAGCAGGUUGAAGUGGGGGUGAAACCCCAUGGAGGACCGAACCAACCCCCGUUGCAAUGGUGGUGGAUGACUUGUGCGUAGCGGUGAAAUUCCAAUCGAACUCGGAGAUAGCUGGUUCUCCCCGAAAUAGCUUUAGGGCUAGCGUUAGUUUAGAUUACCGGAGGUAAAGCACUGAAUGGUUUAGGGGCUGAUAAAGUUACCGACGCCUAUCAAACUCUGAAUGCCGGAUAAUUGAUGACUAGCAGUCAGACAGUGUGAGAUAAGUUUCAUUGUCAAAAGGGAAACAGCCCAGACCUACAGCUAAGGUCCCAAAUGUAUGCUAAGUGGAAAACGAUGUGGAAUUGCGAAAACAACCAGGAUGUUGGCUUAGAAGCAGCCACACAUUAAAAGAGUGCGUAAUAGCUCACUGGUCGAGUGACUCUGCGCGGAAAAUGUAACGGGGCUAAGCAUGCAACCGAAGCUUAGGAUUGUCUAAAGACAGUGGUAGGGGAGCGUUCUGUAUGGGGUGAAGUCGCAGCGAGAGCAGCGGUGGACUGUACAGAAGUGAGAAUGCCGGAAUGAGUAGCGAGAAUUAUGUGGGAAUCAUAAUGGCCGAAAAUCUAAGGUUUCUUGGGGAAGGUUCGUCCGCCCAAGGUAAGUCGGGAGCUAAGCUCAGGCCGAGAGGCGUAGGCGAUGCACAUACGGUAGAAAUUCCGUAACCACCGAACUUUAAGCAUGAGGGACACUUUGAGAUAGCGGAACCCGGGCGUUGGUUGACCCGGGCGAAAGGGACCGAAAUAUAGUAGGGAAGUCCGCGAUGCUCGGAGGCGAGAAAAGCUCAUGUGUAUACUAAGGUGCCCGUACCGCAAACCGACACAGGUAGAUGAGGAGAGAAUCCUAAGGCCAACGGGAGAAGGGUUGUUAAGGAACUCGGCAAGAUGACCCCGUAACUUCGGAAGAAGGGGAGCCUCGAAAGAGGCCGCAGUGAAUAGGCCCAAGCAACUGUUUACCAAAAACACAGGUUUAUGCUAAAUCGAAAGAUGACGUAUAUGAGCUGACGCCUGCCCGGUGCCGGAAGGUUAAGAGGAGAUGUCAACCGCAAGGUGAAGCAUUGAAUUGAAGCCCCGGUAAACGGCGGCCGUAACUAUAACGGUCCUAAGGUAGCGAAAUUCCUUGUCAGGUAAGUUCUGACCCGCACGAAUGG
rnacentral:rRNA from 1 species